rnacentral:rRNA from 1 species
UGGGGAAUUUUGCACAAUGGGGGAAACCCUGAUGCAGCGACGCCGCGUGAUUUAGAAGGCCUUCGGGUUGUAAAAAUCUUUUCUAUGGGAAGAAAAUGACAGUACCAUAGGAAUAAGGACCGGCUAAUUACGUGCCAGCAGCCGCGGUAAUACGUAAGGUCCGAGCGUUGUCCGGAAUCAUUGGGCGUAAAGGGUACGUAGGCGGGUAAGCAAGUUAGAAGUGAAAUCCUUUAGCUCAACUAUAGUAAGCUUUUAAAACUGCUCAUCUUGAGGUAUGGAAGGGAAAGUGGAAUUCCUAGUGUAGCGGAGAAAUGCGCAGAUAUUAGGAGGAACACCGGUGGCGAAGGCGACUUUCUGGCCAUAACCUGACGCUGAGGUACGAAAGCGUGGGUAGCAAACAGG